AGAGUUUGUGUUUUUGUUGGUUA
rnacentral:siRNA from 1 species